CCUACGGGAGGCAGCAGUGAGGAAUAUUGGUCAAUGGGCGGGAGCCUGAACCAGCCAAGCCGCGUGAGGGAGGAAGGCGCAGAGCGUCUCAGACCUCUUUUGCCGGGGGACAAAAGGCCGGACUCGUCCGGUCCUGAGGGUACCCGGAGAAAAAGCAUCGGCUAACUCCGGGCCAGCAGCCGCGGUAAUACGGAGGAUGAGAGCGUUAUCCGGAUUUAUUGGGUUUAAAGGGAGCGUAGGUGGAUUGUUAAGUAAGUUGUGAAAGUUUGCGGCUCAACCGUAAAAUUGCAGUGGAAACUGGCAGUCUUGAGUACAGUAGAGGUGGGCGGAAUUCGUGGUGUAGCGGUGAAAUGCUUAGAUAUCACGAAGAACUCCGAUUGCGAAGGCAGUUCACUGGACUGCAACUGACACUGAGGCUCGAAAGUGUGGGUAUCAAACAGGAUUAGAUACCCGUGUAGUC
rnacentral:rRNA from 1 species